CAGCUUUGUUGAAUUAUUACAUAGAGCACAUGAAGACAACAUACUGACAUAUAUAUUUUAUGAUUUCGAAGAAAGGGGUAAACCUGACAACAAGCCUAAAUGGUAUAACAACUGGGAAAUUACUGACAUAUAUAAGCAUCAAGCGUUCGCUCUUGAUUGGAGUACUUCAGGGAAUUUAUCACUAUCAAGCAGAUUUGUAUCGUCCGCGAACAAUUUCGAAAAUAAUGUGGUGCUUCAAGCAAGAUCGUUGAUGAAUAUUAAAAAUAAAGUCGGUCCCAAGCACGAUCCCUGUGGGACUCCGUGGGUCACAGGUAAGACUUGAAGAUUGGAACUACUCUCGCGAUUUUCAAUGAAGAUGGAAAUAUUCCCAACUGAAGUGAACUAUUGAAAAACUUUGUCAGACAUGGAGCUAUGAUAUCAGCAACAUACUUGAGAAAGCGGCUCUGGAUGUUGUCAGCCCCAACUGCCUUACCAUCCUUAAGACUUAUGAUUUCAGCUGUUAAUUCAUUCACUGUUGUGGGAUUCAGAAAUAUGGAAUUGCUUAUCCGCUUGUCAAGAUACUUUCUAAACCCCUCCAUGUCAUUGGGGAAUUGUUUAGAAAGAUUAGAACCGACAGUGGAAAAGUACUGAUUGAAUUCUUGUGCAAUCGAAUGACUAUCAUUAAUAAUACUGCCAUUUUCCAGAUGGAUUUCGUCAAUAUUAUGCCUUAACUUGUUUUUAGAGGAUGCAAUUUGAUUCACAAUUCGCCAUGUAGACUUGGGGUUUCCCUUGUUUUCAGCAAUCAUAUUCUGGUAAUACAUUUGUUUCGCCAUAUCAAUGGUAUGUGUGAGUAAAUUGCGAUACUUUUUGAAAUAUGA